AAAAAUAUGCCACAAAAUCAUAAGCUUGUUUAUAUUUUGAUAAUCUUUCUUUCUUUAUCUCUUGGUGUAAUCAGUGUUCAAACAAAUCUUUUUAUAAAAUGCAAAAAAAAUGCUGAUUGUCCAAAAUAUAAAUGUGCAUCAAACAAAGUGAAGUGCAUUAUUUUUACUUGUAUGUGCAUGGGCCUAGAUAGCAUACAGUAGUAGGAACACACUAUUUCCUUUUGUCUUUUAAAGACUAAUUUUCCUGUAAAAAUGAACGGUUAGUUAAUGAUGAAAUUAUUUAGCAAAUUUGAAUUAUAUUUUUGGAGGUGCUACAAAGGAUUGAUAUAUGAGCCAUCAAUUUGUUCAUUUUUAAUUAUUAUAUCAGUGUAACAAUUGUCCGUUUUGAAUUAAAUUUUUGUGUGUAUAUUUUUUAUGGCUAUUUGUGUAGUUGUCUUAUUUAGAUGUUGGAUCUCUAGUUUUCUUUACUUCUAGUAUA
rnacentral:lncRNA from 1 species